rnacentral:tRNA from 1 species
GGGGAUAUAGUAAAAUUGGUAUAACUGCGAUUUUGCAGAUCGUUAUUCUAGGUUCAAGUCCUAGUGUCUCCA